UUCUGGAAGCUUAUUAUUUAUUGUAUAAAAACGUACACAAUUGCCAAUAAAUGAAUUGCUUACUUUACUGAGCCUAGAGGCGGGCAUUACAAGUUUAUUUUUAUUUUUAGUAUUUACAUUAUGACAGUCACUUUUUUAAGAAUUAAUUCAUGUGUUUAUGUACAUAAAAUAAAUUUU